rnacentral:rRNA from 1 species
CAUAUGCUUGUUUCAAAGGCUAAGCCAUGCACGUCUAAGUACACACUGAUACACAAGUGAAACCGCGAAUGGCUCAUUAAAUCAGUUACAGUUCCUUGGGGCCUGAUUCAUUUCACAUGAAAUACACGGAUAACUGUGGUAAUUCUAGAGCUAAUACGUGCCCAAAAGGGGAGUCGCAAGACUUUCUGCGUUUGUUAGCCUAAAAGCCACUCGUUCGCGGGCGCUCGCGCGCUCGUGUUCGAAUCCACCCCGGAAUAACGACAACCACGCUGAUCCUAUUGCCUCGUGCAAAGGACGCACCCUUCAAGUGUCUGCCUUAUCAACUUUCGAUGGUAGGCUACAUGCCUACCAUGGUGAUAACGGGUAACGGGGAAUCAGAGUUCGAUUCCGGAGAGGGAGCCUGAGAAACGGCUACCACAUCCAAGGAAGGCAGCAGGCACGCAAAUUACCCACUCCCGGACAGGGGAGGUAGUGACGAAAAAUAACAAUGCGGGACUCUUAAGAGGCCUCGUAAUUGGAAUGAGAAAAACGUAAAAUCCUUAAACGAGGAUCAAUUGGAGGGCAAGUCUGGUGCCAGCAGCCGCGGUAAUUCCAGCUCCAAUAGCGUAUAUUAAAGUUGUUGCGUUUAAAACGCUCGUAGUUGAAGUUUGUAGCCGGGUGCGGCUUAUUUGUCCGACCGUUUGGCGUGGCUGUUGCGAGUAGCGGCGCAAGUCGUUGCGAGCAGGCCCGCCGGACACGGGCAAAGCCAGUAUUACCCGCUACUAUUGCUUGCAACAGACUGAUGCCUUUAACCGGGUGCAGUCAGCGUUGUAAGCAGGUUACUUUGACAAAAUAAGAGUGCUCAAAGCGGGCAGACGCUAUGCGAUAUGCUCGGAUUUUCUCCAGCAUAGAAUAACGAAACAGGGUGUGGGACCCACUGUCCUCACCGCACGCCGUCAAAAGCGCGCGGCGGAUAGCGAACGUUUCGUUGGCUUCGUUCCUCACACAAUGAUCAAUAGGAACAGACGGGAGCAUUUGUACUGCGAGGCUAGAGGUGAAAUUCUUGGACCCUCGCAUGACAAACAACAGCGAAAGCAUUUGCUAAGGAUGUUUUCAUUAAUCAAGAACGAAAGUUAGAGGAUCGAAGGCGAUCAGAUACCGCCCUAGUUCUAACCAUAAACGAUGCCAUCCAGUAAUCAGCUUGGGUGCUACAAAUUGAAAAAUAUUGACCCAGCUGGAGACUUCCGGGAAACCAAAGACUUGGUUACGGGGGAAGUAUGGUUGCAAAGCUGAAACUUAAAGGAAUUGACGGAAGGGCACCACCAGGAGUGGAGCUUGCGGCUUAAUUUGACUCAACACGGGAAAAUUUACCAGGUCCGAACACUGUAAGGAUGGACAGAUUGAGAGCUCUUUCUUGAUUCAGUGGGUGGUGGUGCAUGGCCGUUCUUAGUUCGUGGAGUGAUUUGUCUGGUUGAUUCCGAUAACGAACGAGACUCUUACCAGGUGGUUGUCUUGGGCCUAACAAGCCCUCGGAGCGUGGUGAUGGUAUCCAAACAGCGUACCCCGUAACACGGGCGCUGGCCGCUACCCCGCUCCAAGACUCCCACCGGAACAGGCUGCGAUUCAAGCAGUACGAGAAGGAGCAAUAACAGGUCUGUGAUGCCCUUAGAUGUUCUGGGCUGCACGCGUGCUACACUGAAGUGUACAACGAGCAAAGGUAACGCUGCGACUCGUAUGCGUGCCUCAAAAACACGCAUGCGAGACCCGCAGUAGCCACCCUGACGAGAAAUCGCCGGGUAACCAUUGCAAUACACUUCGUGAUAGGGAUAGGGCAUUGUAACUAUUGCCCUUGAACGAGGAAUUCCCAGUAAGCAUGAGUCAUUAGCUCGUGCUGAUUAAGUCCCUGCCCUUUGUACACACCGCCCGUCGCUACUACCGAUUGAAUGAUUUAGUGAGCGCUUUGGAGGGACUGGCCUGGUCUUGGCCUCAAAAACCAAGCCGUGGCCGGUCGACGAAGACGUGCAAACUAUAUCAUUUAGAGGAAGUAAAAGUCGUAACAAGGUAUCCGU